rnacentral:rRNA from 1 species
GGUUGUCGUCAGCUCGUGUCGUGAGAUGUUGGGUUAAGUCCCGCAACGAGCGCAACCCUCGCCUCUAGUUGCCAUCACUCAGUUGGGCACUCUAGCGAGACUGCCGGUAAUAAACCGGAGGAAGGUGGGGAUGACGUCAAAUCAUCAUGCCCCUUAUGACCUGGGCUACACACGUGCUACAAUGGUUGGUACAACGAGUUGCGAGUCGGUGACGGCGAGCUAAUCUCUUAAAGCCAAUCUCAGUUCGGAUUGUAGGCUGCAACUCGCCUACAUGAAGUCGGAAUCGCUAGUAAUCGCGGAUCAGCACGCCCGCGGUCGAAUACGUUCCGGCCUU